rnacentral:rRNA from 1 species
UGCAAGUCGAGCGGUAGAGAGAAGCUUGCUUCUCUUGAGAGCGGCGGACGGGUGAGUAAUGCCUAGGAAUCUGCCUGGUAGUGGGGGAUAACGCUCGGAAACGGACGCUAAUACCGCAUACGUCCUACGGGAGAAAGCAGGGGACCUUCGGGCCUUGCGCUAUCAGAUGAGCCUAGGUCGGAUUAGCUAGUUGGUGAGGUAAUGGCUCACCAAGGCGACGAUCCGUAACUGGUCUGAGAGGAUGAUCAGUCACACUGGAACUGAGACACGGUCCAGACUCCUACGGGAGGCAGCAGUGGGGAAUAUUGGACAAUGGGCGAAAGCCUGAUCCAGCCAUGCCGCGUGUGUGAAGAAGGUCUUCGGAUUGUAAAGCACUUUAAGUUGGGAGGAAGGGCAUUAACCUAAUACGUUGGUGUCUUGACGUUACCGACAGAAUAAGCACCGGCUAACUCUGUGCCAGCAGCCGCGGUAAUACAGAGGGUGCAAGCGUUAAUCGGAAUUACUGGGCGUAAAGCGCGCGUAGGUGGUUCGUUAAGUUGGAUGUGAAAUCCCCGGGCUCAACCUGGGAACUGCAUUCAAAACUGACGAGCUAGAGUAUGGUAGAGGGUGGUGGAAUUUCCUGUGUAGCGGUGAAAUGCGUAGAUAUAGGAAGGAAC